AAGCAAGUUUCUCAGGAACCUAUUCAUGAAGCCCCAGCACAUAAAGGAACUAAUGGGAAAGCUGUUAAGGAUGAUCAUUUCUUUGAUGAAGUUGCAGAUGAUGCCAAGAAAAUCGCAAGCAAGGAAAAAAGAAAGCUUAAGUGUCAAAGAAAAAAAAUUAAAAAGCAUCUCUUCAAGUCGAACAACC